ACAGCAGUCGCCGCGGUAAUACGUAGGGUGCGAGCGUUAAUCGGAAUUACUGGGCGUAAAGGGCUCGCAGGCGGUUUCUUAAGUCUGAUGUGAAAGCCCCCGGCUCAACCGGGGAGGGUCAUUGGAAACUGGGAAACUUGAGUGCAGAAGAGGAGAGUGGAAUUCCACGUGUAGCGGUGAAAUGCGUAGAGAUGUGGAGGAACACCAGUGGCGAAGGCGACUCUCUGGUCUGUAACUGACGCUGAGGAGCGAAAGCGUGGGGAGCGAACAGGAUUAGAUACCCGAGUAGUCCCUGUCUCUUAUAC
rnacentral:rRNA from 1 species